UUGUACUCACACUGUCAUAAUUGUUUUUAUUAAAGCGUGCACUAUGCCAAACAAUCUCCGGGACCCUGAGCAACAUCCCUUUGGUACUGUUCAAUCUCACGAUUCCUGGAGGCUCAUUAGUCAGAGGAUUCAUGGAACCGUGUCGGCUACUGUAGCCCUCGAAAAAGAGCUGACAACAACGAAUUCAGCUGCCUUCAACCCAAUUCCAUUAUCCAAUUAUUAUUUUUGAAUUUCCUUGCUAUCAUGUUUUUCUUCGAAUUCUAAGUCAUAAAAUUAUUUUACAUCG
rnacentral:lncRNA from 1 species